UGGUAUCUUUGAUUACUUUACUUGUACAUCAUACACUACCGAUAAAUACAUUAAAUUAUGGACAAAUUACCGUUUAUCAAAGUGAGAACUAACAUUGAUUAGCUGUUGCAAUAAAAAAAAAACACUAAAAGGAAUAAAUAAAAUUGGUAAUGGAAAUUGGGAAUGUGUCAAAGCGACAAGAAAACGACCAUAGAGCAGACAACAGCCGAAGUCCACCAAUGGGUCUUCAAUGUAGCGAGAAACACCCGGAGGCGUCCUUCAGCUGGUCCCGUUAAAAAAUGUGCACUAGUUCAGUGAUAAACUCAGAAUUUUACACAAGAAACUAAAAUUAAAAAUAAGAAAAGACUAACAAAGGUAAGAGACUCCUGACUUGGGACAGGCGCA
rnacentral:lncRNA from 1 species